GCCAUAGCUUUUGUUGUGAUAUGAUUUUUAUAAUUUUGAGGACUCAUUGUUGAUCUUCGAGUCAUUUACAAUCUUCUUCAAUAUAUAUAUAAUUUCUUAGCUGGAAAUUAGAAAAAAAUAAAAAAACAAAAAAGCAUAACAAAUCUGAUCUCCAAUAGAUAACUAUUGGCUAAUCAAAAGAUAAGAGGGAACAAACUACGCCAUUGCGCUCAUAUUAACCAAUGAUAGAAAUGAAGCAAUAGAGAAUUGUUAUAACUGUAUUUUGUACGGUACAGUAAAAA